UAAGGGGGGGGCCAGCGAUAUCCGGAAUCACUGGGUUUAAAGGGUGCGUAGGCGGUGGUGUAAGUCAGUUGUGAAAUGCCCCGGCUUAACCGGCGGAACUGCGAUUGAAACUGCAUCACUUGAAUCAGGAUGAGGUAGGCGGAAUGUGGCAUGUAGCGGUGAAAUGCUUAGAUAUGCCAUAGAACACCGAUUGCGAAGGCAGCUUGCUGGGCCUGAAUUGACGCUGAGGCACGAAAGCGUGGGGAGCAAACAGG
rnacentral:rRNA from 1 species